rnacentral:rRNA from 1 species
CGGACGGGUGAGUAAUGUCUGGGAAACUGCCUGAUGGAGGGGGAUAACUACUGGAAACGGUAGCUAAUACCGCAUAACGUCGCAAGACCAAAGAGGGGGACCUUAGGGCCUCUUGCCAUCGGAUGUGCCCAGAUGGGAUUAGCUAGUAGGUGGGGUAACGGUUCACCUAGGCGACGAUCCCUAGCUGGUCUGAGAGGAUGACCAGCCACACUGGAACUGAGACACGGUCCAG